CCUAUCAGAGGAACUCGUAUUUUAAUCCGAUAAUCCGCGUUAUUUCUCUCUUAAGUCCAAAGUAUUUAUAUCGCCGUCUAAAGAUUUAAAUCCAACCUUAAAUCCACUAGGACAUUCUUCAACUACGUCAGGUCGAGAUAAAGCCCAUACUUAAGCAAGCCGAGUUACACAUAUCUUUAAUUUAAAACUCUUUGAUUAAAAUCAAAAACAUUCAGGAUUUGAUAGUAAUAUUUAAUUAACCCUUAAUAAUGAAAUCGUUAACAAGGUGUACAUAUCGCCCGUCACCCUCGUCCAAAGAUGAGGUAAGUCGUAACAUAGUUAAUAUACUGGAAAGUGUAUUAAGGG
rnacentral:rRNA from 1 species